rnacentral:lncRNA from 1 species
UAGAGUUUUAAUUAAAUUUGUGACUCAUACAAAAAGUGGUCGUUUGGCAGCAUCUUCUCUCGAAUUUAACAUAUCAUACUCAUUAAACAAUGAAUCACUUAUAAAAAAAGUGCUUCUUCCAUCAUCAACAUUAUAUCUUUGUCUCUUAACUUUAUGAGCUUCUGUUUCUUCAUCAACAACAUGGUCUUCAAAAGAGUGCUUACCAGUUAGCUUCUGCACCACAGACUUAAAACUCAUAGCAUCAGUUUCAACAUAUUCUGUAGUUACAAUCACAAUCUUCACUGGCUUUUUACUAUUGCUGCAACCACCACUUGCCAUAUUUGAGUAUUUCACUUUAGAAGUUCUUU